GCGACAGUGGCUCAGUUGGUAGAGUACAACCUUGCCAAGGUUGGGGUCGCGGGUUCGAACCCCGUCUGUCCCU
rnacentral:tRNA from 1 species